rnacentral:rRNA from 1 species
UACGGGGGGGGCAAGCGUUGUUCGGAAUUACUGGGCGUAAAGGGCUCGUAGGUGGCCAACUAAGUCAGACGUGAAAUCCCCAGGCUCAACUUGGGAACUGCGUCUGAUACUGGAUGGCUUGAAUUCGGGGGAGGGAUGCAGAAUUCCAGGUGUAGCGGUGAAAUGCGUAGAUAUCUGGAGGAAUACCGGUGGCGAAGGCGGCAUCCUGGACCGAGAUUGACACUGAUGAGCGAAAGCCAGGGGAGCAAACGGG